rfam:Canis lupus familiaris chromosome 5, whole genome shotgun sequence.
AGCUUUGUGCAGUGGCAGUAUCGUAGCCAGUGAGGUUUAUUUGAGGCGCAAUUAUUGCUAAUUGAAAACUUAAAAUUUUUCAAUCCCAGAUAAUGUAAGGGAAUAAUUUGAUAUGUAUUAUAUCUUAUAUUUGCAGGAUUAGCAGU